ensembl:rRNA 5S_rRNA 5S ribosomal RNA
GCUUACGGCCACACCUCCCUCAGCACGCCCGAUCUCGUCUGAUUUCGGAAGCUAAGCAGGGUCCGGCCUGGUUGGUUCUUGGAUGGGAACCCGCCUGGGAAUACCAGGUGCUGUAAGCU